rnacentral:tRNA from 1 species
GGGCCUGUAGCUCAGUUGGGAGAGCGUCUCGCUGGCAGCGAGAAGGUCGCAAGUUCGAUCCUUGUCAGGUCCACCA